ensembl:snoRNA SNORA30B small nucleolar RNA, H/ACA box 30B
CCAGCACUUUCACAGACCCUUCUCCGGGCUGUGGGGCCACGAUUUGGUGGCUGGUACUUUCGAGAAAACCCUGAGUUGCAUCCUUGCUCUGGGCCUGUGCCAGGGGCAGCUGUCACUCACUGGGACACAG